rnacentral:rRNA from 1 species
AACUUUACCCCCAAAUUUUUUUAUUUUAUUUUUGUAUAUGUGAGGUUUUGUCUGCAUUGAACGCUGGCGGCAGGCCUAACACAUGCAAGUCGAGCGGUAGCACAAGAGAGCUUGCUCUCUGGGUGACGAGCGGCGGACGGGUGAGUAAUGUCUGGGAAACUGCCUGAUGGCGGGGGAUAACUAGUGGAAACGGUAGCUAAUACCGCAUAACGUCGCAAGACCAAAGUGGGGGCCCUUCGGGCCUCACGCCAUCAGAUGUGCCCAGGUGGGAUUAGCUGGUAGGUGAGGUAACGGCUCACCUAGGCGACGAUCCCUAGCUGGUCUGAGAGGAUGACCAGCCACACUGGAACUGAGACACGGUCCAGACUCCUACGGGAGGCAGCAGUGGGGAAUAUUGCACAAUGGGCGCAAGCCUGAUGCAGCCAUGCCGCGUGUGUGAAGAAGGCCUUCGGGUUGUAAAGCACUUUCAGCGAGGAGGAAGGGUAAUGUGUUAAUAAGACAUUGCAUUGACGUUACUCGCAGAAGAAGCACCGGCUAACUCCGUGCCAGCAGCCGCGGUAAUACGGAGGGUGCAAGCGUUAAUCGGAAUUACUGGGCGUAAAGCGCACGCAGGCGGUUUGUUAAGUCAGAUGUGAAAUCCCCGCGCUCAACGUGGGAACGGCAUUUGAGACUGGCAAGCUAGAGUCUUGUAGAGGGGGGUAGAAUUCCAGGUGUAGCGGUGAAAUGCGUAGAGAUCUGGAGGAAUACCGGUGGCGAAGGCGGCCCCCUAGACAAAGACUGACGCUCAGGUGCGAAAGCGUGGGGAGCAAACAGGAUUAGAUACCCUGGUAGUCCACGCUGUAAACGAUGUCGAUUUGGAGGUUGCGCCCUUGAGGGGUGGCUUCCGUAGCUAACGCGUUAAAUCGACCGCCUGGGGAGUACGGCCGCAAGGUUAAAACUCAAAUGAAUUGACGGGGGCCCGCACAAGCGGUGGAGCAUGUGGUUUAAUUCGAUGCAACGCGAAGAACCUUACCUACUCUUGACAUCCAGAGAACUUUCCAGAGAUGGAGAGGUGCCUUCGGGAGCUCUGAGACAGGUGCUGCAUGGCUGUCGUCAGCUCGUGUUGUGAAAUGUUGGGUUAAGUCCCGCAACGAGCGCAACC